AGCGAACGCUGACGGCAGGCCUAACACAUGCAAGUCGAACGAACUCUUCGGAGUUAGUGGCGGACGGGUGAGUAACACGUGGGAACGUGCCUUUAGGUUCGGAAUAACUCAGGGAAACUUGUGCUAAUACCGAAUGUGCCCUUCGGGGGAAAGAUUUAUCGCCUUUAGAGCGGCCCGCGUCUGAUUAGCUAGUUGGUGAGGUAAAGGCUCACCAAGGCGACGAUCAGUAGCUGGUCUGAGAGGAUGAUCAGCCACAUUGGGAGUGAGACACGGCCCAAACUCCUACGGGAGGCAGCAGUGGGGAAUCUUGCGCAAUGGGCGAAAGCCUGACGCAGCCAUGCCGCGUGAAUGAUGAAGGUCUUAGGAUUGUAAAAUUCUUUCACCGGGGACGAUAAUGACGGUACCCGGAGAAGAAGCCCCGGCUAACUUCGUGCCAGCAGCCGCCGCCG
rnacentral:rRNA from 1 species